UCCCUGGUGGCUCGAUGGUAAAGCAUCUGACUGCAAUACAGGAGACCCAGGUUUGAUCCUUGGGUUGGGAA
rnacentral:tRNA from 1 species